GACGAACGCUGGCGGCGUGCUUAACACAUGCAAGUCGAACGGAAAGGCCCUGCUUUUGUGGGGUGCUCGAGUGGCGAACGGGUGAGUAACACGUGAGUAACCUGCCCUUGACUUUGGGAUAACUUCAGGAAACUGGGGCUAAUACCGGAUAGGAGCUCCUGCUGCAUGGUGGGGGUUGGAAAGUUUCGGCGGUUGGGGAUGGACUCGCGGCUUAUCAGCUUGUUGGUGGGGUAGUGGCUUACCAAGGCUUUGACGGGUAGCCGGCCUGAGAGGGUGACCGGCCACAUUGGGACUGAGAUACGGCCCAGACGCCUACGGGAGGCAGCAGUGGGGAAUAUUGCACAAUGGGCGGAAGCCUGAUGCAGCAACGCCGCGUACGGGAUGACGGCCUUCGGGUUGUAAACCGCUUUCGCCUGUGACGAAGCGUGAGUGACGGUAAUGGGUAAAGAAGCACCGGCUAACUACGU
rnacentral:rRNA from 1 species